rnacentral:lncRNA from 1 species
GGAUGAUCACGCUCGCCCUGCCUUUCUGCGGGCUGGGGCGGCGGGCAGGGAGCCAGGCUAUCAGCCGUCUGCUGAGAUAGUCAUGCCGUGUGGGCACAGCAAUGUUCUGAGCUAACCAAGCAACGCAGAUACGGAGUCUUUCCAGAGGGCUGAUGUCAGCUGUCAGGGCACGUGCCCUGCUCUACAGGAUAUCAGAGUCGUAGUUCCAUCCAGGACCUCCCUUUCUCCGUGCUCGGCGACAAUGUUUUCUUGUGGGCAGAUAGGCGGGCCACCGUGAGAAGGGUGCUCCCACGUGAGGCAAAGAGAAUACCACCUCCCUGGACAAAUGCUGGCCUGAGAGAGCUGAAGCAGGUGGAGCAGCAGGCAGAGGGAGAGGAAAAAGCAGACUCCUGA